rnacentral:rRNA from 1 species
AUUGAACGCUGGCGGCAGGCCUAACACAUGCAAGUCGAGCGGAUGAGAAGAGCUUGCUCUUCGAUUCAGCGGCGGACGGGUGAGUAAUGCCUAGGAAUCUGCCUGGUAGUGGGGGACAACGUUUCGAAAGGAGCGCUAAUACCGCAUACGUCCUACGGGAGAAAGCAGGGGACCUUCGGGUCUUGCGCUAUCAGAUGAGCCUAGGUCGGAUUAGCUAGUUGGUGAGGUAAUGGCUCACCAAGGCGACGAUCCGUAACUGGUCUGAGAGGAUGAUCAGUCACACUGGAACAGAGACACGGUCCAGACUCCUACGGGAGGCAGCAGUGGGGAAUAUUGGACAAUGGGCGAAAGCCUGAUCCAGCCAUGCCGCGUGUGUGAAGAAGGGCUUCGGAUUGUAAAGCACUUUAAGUUGGGAGGAAGGGCAGUAAGUUAAUACCUUGCUGUUUUGACGUUACCGACAGAAUAAGCACCGGCUAACUCUGUGCCAGCCGCCGCAGUAACAC